AUGUGGCAGUUAUCGCAGGAUGCGGUGCUGACCAGAGAUGUGAUUAAGCGUCGAGGGUGGAAAGGGGAACCCAAGUGCUCGUUCUGUGGGGAGAGAGAGACCUCCCAACAUCUUUUUUUCACAUGUCCUGUUGCUAGGGUUACCUGGAGAGUUGUGGGGUGCAUGUUUGGUACUGAGCUAUGCCCUGACAAUUUGUGGUAGGCAUAUGUGUGGUGCUAUGUUUUCCUUGGGGGGGGGGAUAUCUUUUAUACGGCCGGCAUUGCAGCUAUAUGUUGGGCUAUUUGGACUUGUCGUAACAGAGUUACUUUCGAGCGUAUUCCUCUAAAAUCUCCAUUUGAAUGCAUCUUCUCUGUGUGUGCUCUUUUAUGUUAUUGGGCAGGUAUGAUGAAGCAGGAGGACGUAGCGGCUCUGAGAACUAGAGGAGAACUGCUGAAGGAUGAUGCGUCUCUUUUGAUGAGGAUCUACGCUACAGCUUAUCAGGACAAGGAAGCCUGCUGA
rnacentral:rRNA from 1 species